AUUGAACGCUGGCGGCAUGCCUUACACAUGCAAGUCGAACGGCAGCACGGGGGCAACCCUGGUGGCGAGUGGCGAACGGGUGAGUAAUGCAUCGGAACGUGCCCCGUACGCGGGGGAGUAACCAGUCGAAAGACUGGCUAAUACCGCAUACGCUCCACGGAGGAAAGGCAGGGGAUCGCAAGACCUUGCACUAUGGGAGCGGCCGAUGCCCGAUUAGCUAGUUGGUGAGGUAAAGGACUCACCAAGGCGACGAUCGGUAGCUGGUUUGAGAGAACGACCAGCCACACUGGGACUGAGACACGGCCCAGACUCCUACGGGAGGCAGCAGUGGGGAA
rnacentral:rRNA from 1 species